UUACUCGAAUAGCAAUACACCAGAGUUUCCUUAACGUAUUGCGAAGAAGAGUGUACUGCACGCAGCGCUAGACAAAGCACCGAAUAGCAAAUGGAUUGUUAGUUUCCUGGCUGACGACUUAAGAGCGAGUCGCGAGCGACUAGAUUGCCGUGCGGCAUAAUACCGAAGCAAGGAAUAAAAUUUCUUUUUCAAUUACGAGCCGCGAAACUCUCUGUCCGGCCAUUAUCACCGCGCGUGAUACCUCGUUAAAACGUAUCCGGAAGGUCAAUCGUUUUAUAAUGCAAAGGGAAAGAGAGGGACGAGAGAGAGAGAGAGAGAGAGAGAGAGAGAAAGGAAGAAAGCAGGGGAUUGGAGAUGUAUCGCGGUUAGGGUCGAUGUAUGCAUUCUACACGUGGCUGUCUCUGGUCGUAGCUGCGCGUGCACCAAUGUUUCGGUGCACCGCGUAUCCUAUACGCCGUGAUUUCAUUUUAUUCGACGCGUAUGUAUAUGCAGGGAAAAAGAAAGGAAGAGAAAAGGUGCGAUAGAAACGCGCGACUCGACCGUGUUGUGUGCUGCUACACACGCACGGUCUCGCGUGCGCGCGCACGCAUACAUUCGCGCACACGCGCACUGGUAGCAUCACUUCACUGAUGAUAUACCCUACCGAGAGUUCAUUGCUCUUGAGGUGCAACGGAGAACGACGAGGAUUCGCGCGAGAACGUCGAAAAGAGAAGGAGAAACGAAGAGGGAGACGCGAACUGGCAUUGGCACGAUGGAGAGAGACAAAAACGGAGACGCACAGCACGGAAGACGAAAGGGAACGAGCGAAAGAGACUAACCGAUGGUACGAACAAGACACUGUCAAGGAGCUCUGAAAAGUCGAAGGAAGGGCGGAGAAAGACGGAUCGAGAAGAAAACUGGAUUAUAUCAAAGGAUAAACGACGAGUAUACAGGCGUGUAAAAAAUCCGGAAACGUAUCGAAAAGGUGAACGCCAUACGAAGACAAGAAACGAGUAUCUGGUUGCAUGAAUAUUAAUAAAGCACGUUAACUCGACACACGACUCUGUCGUGCUUAUAUUACACUCGGAAGUAGCCGGCAAUUAUUCAAAACCAAUGACCACGUUGAAGAGAUCCUUCUGAGUAGCCGGCCAUUUGUAUGAGAGUUCGACGUUUUGAACGAUCAAGCGCGUGAAAUAAAAAAUGCAAUUUUUUUCAGACACCUGACAACUUUUAAACUCUGUCUUCCAAGAGAUGUUUUAGACGCUAGAACGUUUUUCAAGAAUAAUCAUUUGUCUAAAAUGUGUUGUAAUUAUGUAAGCUUGGAACUGUUAUAUUAUUAUAAUAUAUGGAUUUAAGAGU